rnacentral:rRNA from 1 species
AAGCGUCUGCAGGCGGACAGGUAAGUUGGGCGUGAAAGCUCCGGGCUCAACCCGGAGAGGUCGUUCAAUACUGCGUGUCUAGAGGGUGUCAGAGGGGAGUGGAAUUUCCGGAGUAGCGGUAAAAUGCGCAGAUAUCGGAAAGAACACCAAUGGCGAAGGCAGCUCCCUGGGGCAUACCUGACGCUAAGAGACGAAAGCUAGGGGAGCGAACAGGAUUAGAGACCCUGGUAGUCCUAGCCCUAAACGAUGGAUGCUGGAUGUGGGGCCAUAGCGCUCCGUGUCGAAGCGAACGCGUUAAGCAUCCCGCCUGGGGACUACGGCCGCAAGGUUAAAACUCAAACGAAUUGACGGGACCCCGCACAAGCAGCGGAGCGUGUGGUUUAAUUCGAUGCUACACGAAGAACCUUACCUGGGUUUGACAUCUAGGUGGUAGCGACGUGAAAGCGGAGCGACCCUUCGGGGAGCCUAGACAGGUGCUGCAUGGCUGUCGUCAGCUCGUGCCGUGAGGUGUCGGGUUAAGUCCCGUAACGAGCGCAACCCUUGCCCUCCGUUAUACGUGUCAGAGGGGACUGCCGGCGGUAAGCCGGAGGAAGGUGGGGAUGACGUCAAGUCAGCAUGGCCUUUAUAUCCAGGGCUACACACACGCUACAAUGGCCAGUACAAAGGGCAGCGAAGCCGCGAGGUGGAGCGAAUCCCAACAAAGCUGGUCGUAGUUCGGAUUGCAGGCUGCAAACGGCCUGCAUGAAGCUGGAGUUGCUAGUAACCGCGCGUCAACCGAUAGUGCGGUGAAUACGUUCCCGGGGUUUGCA